rnacentral:rRNA from 1 species
AACGAACGCUGGCGGCAUGCCUAACACAUGCAAGUCGAACGAGACCUUCGGGUCUAGUGGCGCACGGGUGCGUAACGCGUGGGAACCUGCCCUUAGGUUCGGAAUAACUCCCCGAAAGGGGUGCUAAUACCGGAUAAUGUCUUCGGACCAAAGAUUUAUCGCCUUUGGAUGGGCCCGCGUUGGAUUAGCUAGUUGGUAGGGUAAAAGCCUACCAAGGCGACGAUCCUAGCUGGUCUGAGAGGAUGAUCAGCCACACUGGGACUGAGACACGGCCCAGACUCCUACGGGAGGCAGCAGUGGGGAAUAUUGGACAAUGGGCGAAAGCCUGAUCCAGCAAUGCCGCGUGAGUGAUGAAGGCCUUAGGGUUGUAAAGCUCUUUUACCCGGGAUGAUAAUGACAGUACCGGGAGAAUAAGCGCCGGCUAACUCCGUG